rnacentral:lncRNA from 1 species
CCUGUUGCCUCUAGCCAGAAGCCUCUCUUUGUGGGCAGAGUGAGUCUUGUUUCUUGUCAUUCACCACAACAAAAAAACCAAGGGGUUUUGUGCCACAUGAUUUGAGGACUGAAGGACAGAUGAAGAAUGUGCUAGUCAAAAUUUCAGCGCUUCAUAGCGAGGGGUAUCUGAGGUACCACUGUUUUCACCUCUGGAAAAGGGUAAUCACUGUAGUCCCUUACUGAGGAAGAUGCGGCUUUAUUGUUCUGCCUUGCAAUGCUUGAUUCCCCUGACAUAAAAAAAUAAGCUGUUAGCAUAAAACUAAUGCAAAUCUCUCACAUAAAAUCUGCCUCGCUCCUGUCACCAGCACUUGAAAAACAGCAAGCGGUUCCCCUUGGCCUAAAGCAAGCCACAGCCAUCAUGCCUUUCAAAGGUUUGCUGAGCAGCCGAGGGGGGACAGGCUCAGUUAACUAUUAAUGACAAGUGCUCCAUGGAAAACCAUAAAACUCCUCUCUAAGCUUGCAGAAGAACUCAGUGCUUCCCUUGUUCUUGGAACGACGGUUUGGUGGCGUGGCUUGGUGUAUCAGUGUGUGUGUUGCUAGACUAAUGCUCACUUAUUGACAUGCAGCCUGACUCUGUGCUUCCAACCAAACCAAAUGGCACUGUGAUACCUGGGCCUUGGGCUUUGUCAGCAUGGAACCUGCUCAAGCUGACACAGGCUGAAAACAUGAGGAAUGGUAUUGUGUUAUUUCUGGAAGAACUUGAGCUGAACUUGUGUUAUGCUCCUGGUUUCAUCUAUUUUCAGUGACUACAACGAUGUGAACUACCUUGGUAAGGCACUAUUAGUUUCCACUGUUUCCUUAUAGUUUCCACUGUUUCAUGUUUUACGGUAUGUUUAGCUUUUCAAGAUUAAAGGUAGUCCCUUUCAUCUUUCUGUCAUAUCUUCCUAAGUAGAGG